UGAACGCUGGCGGCGUGCUUAACACAUGCAAGUCGAACGGUAACAGAAGAGAGCUUGCUCUUUUGCUGACGAGUGGCGCACGGGUGAGUAAUAUAUAGAUAACGUGCCUCUUAGUCUGGGAUAGCCAUUGGAAACGAUGAUUAAUACUAGAUACUCCUUCUCAUUAUAAUUUGAGUCGGGAAAGUUUUUCGCUAAGAGAUCGGUCUAUAUCCCAUCAGUUAGUUGGUAAGGUAACGGCUUACCAAGGCAAUGACGGGUAGCGGGUUUGAGAGGAUGAUCCGCCACACUGGUACUGAGACACGGACCAGACUCCUACGGGAGGCAGCAGUGAGGAAUAUUGCACAAUGGAGGAAACUCUGAUGCAGCAACGCCGCGUGGAGGAUGACGCAUUUCGGUGUGUAAACUCCUUUUAUAAGGGAAGAAAAUGACGGUACCUUAUGAAUAAGCACCGGCUAACUCC
rnacentral:rRNA from 1 species